UGUUGGUGUAAUAGGCCAUGAGGAUAAUCAUUCAAUCUUAGUAUAUUGUAUAUGAGCGACAGAUUUUUUUCCUGGAACUCUGUACUAGAAAGAUUGAUGGCUCGGUCAACUAGGUUAAUGAUGGUGCCUAUCUUUUACAGUUAAAUAAAU